rnacentral:tRNA from 1 species
AGCCUAUUAGCUUAGCUGGUUAGAGCGUUGUGCUAAUAACGCGAAGGUCGCAGGUUCGAGACCUACAUGGGCCA